rnacentral:rRNA from 1 species
CCUACGGGAGGCAGCAGUGAGGAAUAUUGGUCAAUGGGCGUAAGCCUGAACCAGCCAAGUCGCGUGAGGGAUGAAGGCUCUAUGGAUCGUAAACUUCUUUUAUAAGGGAAUAAAGUGUGGGACGUGUCCCGUUUUGUAUGUACCUUAUGAAUAAGGAUCGGCUAACUCCGUGCCAGCAGCCGCGGUAAUACGGAGGAUCCGAGCGUUAUCCGGAUUUAUUGGGUUUAAAGGGUGCGUAGGCGGCCGUUUAAGUCAGCGGUGAAAGUGUGGGGCUCAACCAUAACAUUGCCGUUGAAACUGGGAGGCUUGAGUAUGUGUGAGGCAGGCGGAAUGCGUGGUGUAGCGGUGAAAUGCUUAGAUAUCACGAAGAACCCCGAUGGCGAAGGCAGCCUGCCAGGCCAUGACUGACGCUGAUGCACGAAAGCGUGGGGAUCAAACAGGAUUAGAUACCCGGGUAGUC